rnacentral:rRNA from 1 species
CUUUUAUUGGGUCUAAAGGGUCUGUAGCCGGCCAAGUAAGUCCCUUGGGAAAUCUGGCAGCUUAACUGUCAGGCUGCUAGGGGAUACUGCUAGGCUUGGGACCGGGAGAGGUGAGAGGUACCUUGGGGGUAGGGGUGAAAUCUUGUGAUCCUCGGGGGACCACCAGUGGCGAAGGCGUCUCACCAGAACGGGUCCGACGGUAAGGGACGAAAGCUAGGGGCACGAACCGGAUUAGAUACCCGGGUAGUCCUAGCCGUAAACGAUGCUCGCUAGGUGUCAGUCACGGUGCGACCGUGAUUGGUGCCGUAGGGAAGCCGUGAAGCGAGCCACCUGGGAAGUAUGGCCGCAAGGCUGAAACUUAAAGGAAUUGGCGGGGGAGCACUACAACGGGUGGAGCCUGCGGUUUAAUUGGAUUCAACGCCGGAAAUCUCACCGGGGGCGACAGCGAUAUGAAGGUCAGGCUGAAGACCUUACCCGAUUAGCUGAGAGG